rnacentral:miRNA from 2 species
UGAGGACAAGAGCUGAUUCGG